GUUUGCUGGUCCUUUUAUAGGCUGGAGUGGCUGCCCUAGGGUUUCCUUGUUGAAUUGAGACUCCUUUUCCUAUUUGGACUUGGAUUCUUGGAGGGUAUUUUUGUCUUUUUGAUUUUUAGCUUCCCAAAUAUGUAGGAGAGAUUGCUGAGGUGGAAUUAUGUGUUGCUGAGCUGUCCCACGUGAUUGGAGUGCAACAAGACUCGUGUUUGACUUGGUCUUCAAAUUCUGCAGAUCUGCUGGUUUUCUGGUUGCUGGUGCUGUUUGCCCGACGUUGUUUGGGCAAACAGGCUGUCUGUCGUGGCUGUUGUCUGCGUGUCUGGUCCUUGUCUCUGUCUUGCUUCGCUGUUUGCCCAAACAGUCUUGGGCAAACAGUCUGG
rnacentral:lncRNA from 1 species